CCGCGAUCGCUAAAAACGCCGCAACGCAGCGCAGACGCUCCUGGUGGGAUUAGGGGUUUAUUUCAGCAUGUUGGAUAACAUCUGAUGGGAAUGCAUCAUCGAGACAUUCUGUGGUUCAAUGACAACCAAGGAAGCUUCACCUGCUGACAAGGCGUUUCAUGAGGUCAAAGGCUGCAUAACAAGCGAACACAUAUGCGUCCUUGUCAUGUGGGCUUUCAGUGACACCAAUAAACUGCAGCCCUCCAGUUCUCCAGUUCAGUUAUGUGGAAUGUCCUGCACACAUCAGCGCUCUGUGGUAAACCAGUCAAGCAGUAAUCUCUGUGAGUGUCAGUGGUUUGGAUUGACUUUUAUCGGAGCUUCGUUUUUUUUGCCAGAUCUCCCUUUUUAUGAAGAGAGAGGGAUGCCACCUGCACACUGACAACACCUUGUAAACUUGGCGGGUAAAGAGGAGGAACAGGAAAACAUAAAGGACCUUUUGUAGCUUGAGUAUGAUGGAAAGUAUAACCUGUUACAUAAAAAUGUAUUGUUGGUUCAUUUAUAAAGUAUGUGUCAGUGAAAUGCAUUCAUCUGGUUUUUGUAUUUGUUACGAGCUUACAUUUUUAUGAAAACAAUUCCUGGUGAACUUCAU